rnacentral:rRNA from 1 species
GAUCCUGGCUCAGGACGAACGCUGGCGGCGUGCUUAACACAUGCAAGUCGAACGAGGUCCAACUGAUCGCAAGAUCAGGGAAGACCUAGUGGCGAACGGGUGCGUAACACGUGAGGAACCUGCCCCGGUCUCUGGGAUAACAGUUGGAAACGACUGCUAAUACCGGAUGCCAUCACAACGUCGCAUGGCGAUGUGAUGAAAGAUUCAUCGGACCGGGAGGGCCUCGCGGCCUAUCAGCUUGUGGUGGGGUAAAGGCCUACCAAGGCAUCGACGGGUAGCUGGUCUGAGAGGAUGAUCAGCCACACUGGGACUGAGACACGGCCCAGACUCCUACGGGAGGCAGCAGUGGGGAAUCUUGCGCAAUGGGCGAAAGCCUGACGCAGCAACGCCGCGUGCGGGAAGAAGGGCUCUCGGGGUUGUAAACCGGCUUUCAGUAGGAACGAAAAUGACGGUACCUGCAGAAGAAGGUGCGGCCAACUACGUGCCAGCAGCCGCGGUGACACGUACGG